GAAGGGCCUCGGAGAACCUCUGCCUUGAAACCAGAUAGAAAACGUUCAACUCGUUUACCCUUCU
rnacentral:tRNA from 1 species